GGCCCGAUGGCGCAAUGGUAGCGCGUCAGAUUCCAGUCCUGAAGGUUAGGCGUUCAAAUCGCCUUCGGGUCA
rnacentral:tRNA from 1 species